GAUGAACGCUAGCUACAGGCUUAACACAUGCAAGUCGAGGGGCAGCAUGGUCUUAGCUUGCUAAGGCCGAUGGCGACCGGCGCACGGGUGAGUAACACGUAUCCAACCUGCCGUCUACUCUUGGACAGCCUUCUGAAAGGAAGAUUAAUACAAGAUGGCAUCAUGAGUCCACAUGUUCACAUGAUUAAGGGUAUUCCGGUAGACGAUGGGGAUGCGUUCCAUUAGAUAGUAGGCGGGGUAACGGCCCACCUAGUCUUCGAUGGAUAGGGGUUCUGAGAGGAAGGUCCCCCACAUUGGAACUGAGACACGGUCCAAACUCCUACGGGAGGCAGCAGUGAGGAAUAUUGGUCAAUGGGCGAGAGCCUGAACCAGCCAAGUAGCGUGAAGGAUGACUGCCCUAUGGGUUGUAAACUUCUUUUAUAAAGGAAUAAAGUCGGGUAUGGAUACCCGUUUGCAUGUACUUUAUGAAUAAGGAUCGGCUAACUCCGUGCCAGCAGCCGCGGUAAUACGGAGGAUCCGAGCGUUAUCCGGAUUUAUUGGGUUUAAAGGGAGCGUAGAUGGAUGUUUAAGUCAGUUGUGAAAGUUUGCGGCUCAACCGUAAAAUUGCAGUUGAUACUGGAUAUCUUGAGUGCAGUUGAGGCAGGCGGAAUUCGUGGUGUAGCGGUGAAAUGCUUAGAUAUCACGAAGAACUCCGAUUGCGAAGGCAGCCUGCUAAGCUGCAACUGACAUUGAGGCUCGAAAGUGUGGGUAUCAAACAGGAUUAGAUACCCUGGUAGUCCACACGGUAAACGAUGAAUACUCGCUGUUUGCGAUAUACAGCAAGCGGCCAAGCGAAAGCGUUAAGUAUUCCACCUGGGGAGUACGCCGGCAACGGUGAAACUCAAAGGAAUUGACGGGGGCCCGCACAAGCGGAGGAACAUGUGGUUUAAUUCGAUGAUACGCGAGGAACCUUACCCGGGCUUAAAUUGCAGAUGAAUUACGGUGAAAGCCGUAAGCCGCAAGGCAUCUGUGAAGGUGCUGCAUGGUUGUCGUCAGCUCGUGCCGUGAGGUGUCGGCUUAAGUGCCAUAACGAGCGCAACCCUUGUUGUCAGUUACUAACAGGUUCCGCUGAGGACUCUGACAAGACUGCCAUCGUAAGAUGUGAGGAAGGUGGGGAUGACGUCAAAUCAGCACGGCCCUUACGUCCGGGGCUACACACGUGUUACAAUGGGGGGUACAGAGGGCCGCUACCACGCGAGUGGAUGCCAAUCCCAAAAACCUCUCUCAGUUCGGACUGGAGUCUGCAACCCGACUCCACGAAGCUGGAUUCGCUAGUAAUCGCGCAUCAGCCACGGCGCGGUGAAUACGUUCCCGGGCCU
rnacentral:rRNA from 1 species